rnacentral:rRNA from 1 species
UCUGGCGGCAGUAGCGCGGUGGUCCCACCUGACCCCAUGCCGAACUCAGAAGUGAAACGCCGUAGCGCCGAUGGUAGUGUGGGGUCUCCCCAUGCGAGAGUAGGGAACUGCCAAAC